GUAGUCUCGCACAGAUGCAUAUCAAUAAGCGGAGGAAAAGAAACUAACAAGGAUUCCCUUAGUAACGGCGAGUGAAGCGGGAAGAGCUCAAACUUGAAAUCUUCAAGGUUUUACCUUGACGAAUUGUAGUUUAAAGAAGUGUUUUCUGUUGAAGUUUUGGUAAAAGUUCUUUGGAAUAGGACAUCAUAGAGGGUGAGAAUCCCGUAUUUGACCAUUAUUUUCAGCUGUGUGAUACACUUUCAAAGAGUCGGAUUGUUUGGGAAUGCAGUCCAAAAUGGGUGGUAAAUUUCAUCUAAAGCUAAAUACUUGGCGAGAGACCGAUAGCGAACAAGUACCGUGAGGGAAAGAUGAAAAGAACUUUGAAAAGAGAGUUAAACAGUACGUGAAAUUGUCAAAAGGGAAGCGUUUGACACCAGUGUUGUUUUCUCGAAAAUCAAUUAAAAAGAGUUAGAUUUUGUUGUGUAUUGACCUUAACAGCUUGCAUUUCAAUUUUCUUGCUUUUUUUAAUGCACUUUUCGUUUAACAAGUCAACAUCAGUUUCUUUUGUUGUAAAAAGGUCAUUGGAAGGUGGCUUUCUUUUCGGAGAAAGUGUUUAUAGCCUUUGACUCCUGCAAUCGGAGAGACUGAGGUCUGCAGCGUAGAUCCUUCGGGGUUAGAUACAUUUGUGCUAAGUUAUAGCUUUUUAUAGACAACUUGUUGACUAUGAUUAGUCUUGUAGCUUACUCGCUUAUGCUAUUUUACCUACGCUUAGGAUGUUGAGCGCAUGUCUCUCUCU
rnacentral:rRNA from 1 species